CCUGCGGGGGUCACACUGAGGUCCCUGCCUCUUCCCUCCUCCUGCACUGGCCACAGCCCAGAGCUGAGACAUCAGUCAAGCAGACCUGAUAUCCAGGGAGCAGGGCUGAGAGCGUGACCGUGAGUCACACAGCUCACAGCAUUAUUUCUCGUAAAGUCCGCACACGGCCUCCGAAUCCUCCUUAACACGGCCCAUAGGCACAUUAACAACCGGGAUGCUAGACUACACCUUGUUGCUGUGCCUGGAGGAAGCUAAGGGUGCACAAGCUGGGUGCCUGUGGCUUCCUGCUGCCCUUCUGCACACGACUGUGCUAGGGACAUGGUUCACAGCCUGCCCUGAGCUUUCAAGGAGUAUACGGUCUGGUGUGGAAACAGCAGAUGGCUGGCUUGGAGGAGCAGAGACAAGGAAAGGCCACGGGGUGCUGGUUCAGCCGCCUGGGUUCUAGCCAUGGUCCUGCCUGCCUCGAUCUGUCUUUAGGACAAGUGCCCUGUGCCUCGGUUCCUUAUUUUGUCCUGCAGGACAGCGGUGGCCUUGCCUACAGAGACAGCAUGUGCUCUGCAAACUCACCUGCAGGAUUUCCUUCCUCAGGCUUCAGUUUCUUCACCUGCAAGGUGAGGAAACAGGACUCUCCUCUCCAAGCAUGCGCCGUGCAAUACAGCUAACAGUGGAGACUGCAAUGACUGGAUUUCAAAGACUUAGUAUGAUGAAGAAUGUAAAACAUCUGCCCUGUGAAUCCAAUGUAUUACCAUCCCAAUAUGUAAUCAAUGAAAAAUGAAAAACA